rnacentral:rRNA from 1 species
GGACCCGCACAAGUAGUGGAGCAUGUGGUUUAAUUCGAAGAUACGCGCAGAACCUUACCAACACUUGACAUGUUCGUCGCGACUCUAAGAGAUUAGAGUUUUCGGUUCGGCCGGACGAAACACAGGUGCUGCAUGGCUGUCGUCAGCUCGUGUCGUGAGAUGUUGGGUUAAGUCCCGCAACGAGCGCAACCCUCACUUUUAGUUGCCAUCAUUAAGUUGGGCACUCUGAAAGAACUGCCAGUGAUAAGCUGGAGGAAGGUGGGGAUGACGUCAAGUCCUCAUGGCCCUUACGUGUUGGGCUACACACGUGCUACAAUGGUAUUUACAACAGGAUGCAAAACUGCAAAGUUAAGCAAAUCCCUAAAAGAUACCUCAGUUCGGAUUGCACUCUGCAACUCGAGUGCAUGAAGCUGGAAUUACUAGUAAUCG